GAUCCUGGCUCAGGACGAACGCUGGUGGCGUGCCUAACACAUGCAAGUCGAGCGGAGACAGUGAGUAGCUUGCUAUGAGCUGUUUUAGCGGCGGACGGGUGAGUAACGCGUGAGCAACCUUUCCCAGACAGGGGAAUAACACACCGAAAGGUGUACUAAUACCGCAUAAGACCACGGGAUCACAUGGUUCUGGGGUAAAAGAUUUAUCGGUUUGGGGUGGGCUCGCGUCCGAUUAGGUAGUUGGUGAGGUAACGG
rnacentral:rRNA from 1 species